rnacentral:lncRNA from 1 species
CUCUCUGCCAACUGACUCAGGACGGUUUCUUUCCUGUUCAGUGUUUCACCUCAUCCCUUCUCUGACUGCAGCUGGGACAAGGGCCAAGGUGCCCUUUGAUGGGACAACGCCCACCCCAGCCCCACCCAAACCUUGGUCCAGGUCCUCCUGUCAGGGUUCAGAUGAGGAAAAAUCAAAAACAAACAAACAAAACAAAGAUACUUUUUCCUAGACUGCACAACACCUCUGCCAGCCCAGAUGAGGUUUUCAGAGGUCUGGGAGAGUACGUUCCCCAGGGAAGUGAGCCCUCAACCAUCCUCUGCAGGGACAGUUCCUUGUACCAGCACAGACCUGGGUAGCUCAAGGCCUAAGGAGCUAGAAAAUAAACUUCACCUGAAAAAGCCACAAAAGCGGCCCCAGACACUGAUUCCCACCACAAG